ACUUGUUUAGCUCAGUUGGUAGAGAAUAAAGCUCUUAACCUUGUGGUCGUGGGUUUGAGCCCCAUGAUGGAUG
rnacentral:tRNA from 1 species